GUAAUGCAUCGGAACGUAUCCCGGAGUGGGGGAUAACGCAGCGAAAGUUGCGCUAAUACCGCAUGAGCUCUGAGGAGGAAAGCGGGGGACCGAAAGGCCUCGCGCUGUGGGAGCGGCCGAUGUCCGAUUAGCUAGUUGGUGGGGUAAAGGCCCACCAAGGCGACGAUCGGUAGCUGGUCUGAGAGGAUGAUCAGCCACACUGGGACUGAGACACGGCCAGACUCCUACGGGAGGCAGCAGUGGGGAAUUUUGGACAAUGGGGGAAACCCUGAUCCAGCCAUGCCGCGUGAGUGAAGAAGGCCUUCGGGUUGUAAAGCUCUUUCGGACGGAACGAAAUCGCUCGCGCGAAUAACGCGGGUGGAUGACGGUACUGUAAGAAGAAGCACCGGCUAACUACGUGCCAGCAGCCGCGGUAAUACGUAGGGUGCGAGCGUUAAUCGGAAUUACUGGGCGUAAAGCGUGCGCAGGCGGUUGUUUAAGCCAGUCGUGAAAUCCCCGGGCUUAACCUGGGAAUGGCGAUUGGGACUGGACGGCUAGAGUGCGGCAGAGGGAGGUGGAAUUCCACGUGUAGCAGUGAAAUGCGUAGAUAUGUGGAGGAACACCGAUGGCGAAGGCAGCCUCCUGGGCCAGCACUGACGCUCAUGCA
rnacentral:rRNA from 1 species